UUUUUAGGUGGUGAAAACAGUUGGUUUGCGUGAGGUUUGGUUUUUUGGGCUGCAGUAUGUAGACAGCAAAGGUUAUUCCACGUGGCUUAAACUAAAUAAAAAGGUGACCCAGCAAGAUGUUAAAAAAGAGAAUCCCUUACAGUUCAAGUUUAGAGCAAAAUUCUUUCCUGAAGAUGUUUCUGAGGAGUUAAUUCAAGAAAUUACCCAGAGACUUUUCUUCUUACAAGUUAAAGAAGCCAUCUUAAAUGAUGAGAUCUAUUGCCCACCAGAAACUGCAGUUCUUUUGGCUUCCUAUGCUGUCCAAGCCAAGUAUGGAGACUAUAAUAAAGAGAUUCAUAAAACGGGCUACCUGGCUAAUGAUAGACUCCUACCCCAGCGUGUUUUGGAACAACACAAACUGACAAAAGAACAGUGGGAAGAAAGAAUACAGAACUGGCAUGAAGAACACAGAGGAAUGCUAAGGGAAGAUUCUAUGAUGGAAUACCUGAAGAUUGCACAAGAUCUAGAAAUGUAUGGAGUCAACUAUUUUGAAAUAAAAAAUAAAAAGGGAACUGAAUUGUGGCUAGGUGUUGAUGCUUUGGGCCUGAAUAUUUAUGAGCAUGAUGACAAGUUAACACCUAAAAUUGGUUUUCCCUGGAGUGAAAUCAGAAAUAUUUCAUUUAAUGACAAAAAAUUUGUUAUAAAACCAAUCGACAAAAAGGCCCCCGAUUUUGUUUUUUAUGCACCUCGUCUGAGAAUCAAUAAACGGAUUUUGGCUUUAUGUAUGGGAAACCAUGAACUAUACAUGCGAAGAAGGAAGCCUGAUACUAUUGAAGUACAACAGAUGAAGGCUCAGGCAAGGGAGGAGAAACAUCAGAAGCAGUUGGAAAGGGCACAAUUAGAGAAUGAAAAGAAGAAAAGAGAAAUAGCAGAAAAAGAAAAGGAAAGAAUAGAACGUGAAAAGGAAGAGCUAAUGGAACGUCUAAGGCAGAUUGAAGAACAGACAAUGAAAGCUCAGAAAGAACUGGAAGAACAGACUCGAAAAGCUCUAGAACUGGAUCAGGAACGAAAACGAGCAAAAGAAGAAGCAGAACGGCUUGAAAAGGAGCGUCGAGCUGCUGAAGAGGCCAAGUCUGCUAUAGCAAAACAAGCUGCUGACCAGAUGAAGAAUCAGGAACAGCUAGCAGCAGAACUCGCCGAAUUCACUGCCAAGAUUGCACUUCUAGAAGAAGCCAAGAAGAAAAAGGAAGAGGAAGCUACUGAGUGGCAACACAAAGCUUUUGCAGCCCAGGAAGACUUGGAAAAGACCAAAGAAGAGUUAAAAACUGUGAUGUCUGCCCCCCCUCCACCUCCUCCACCACCAGUCAUUCCUCCAACAGAAAAUGAACAUGAUGAACACGAUGAGAAUAAUGCUGAGGCUAGUGCCGAAUUAUCAAAUGAAGGGGUAAUGAACCAUAGAAGUGAGGAAGAGCGUGUAACAGAAACACAGAAAAAUGAGCGUGUUAAGAAGCAACUUCAGGCAUUAAGUUCGGAGUUAGCCCAAGCCAGAGAUGAAACCAAGAAAACACAAAAUGAUGUUCUUCAUGCUGAGAAUGUUAAAGCAGGCCGUGAUAAGUACAAGACUCUGCGACAAAUUCGACAAGGCAAUACAAAGCAGCGUAUUGAUGAGUUUGAAGCAAUGUGAGAGCUGUUAUUUUGCAUACGUGUUCUUCAUAAGCUGAACCACCAACAGAGAAAAGCAGGCCUAUGCAGAUGUGAUGGAAUGCAUCCCACCUUGCCAAAGCACUUAUACCAGUUUGACUGUGGUGGCUAAAAGACAAAUUUAAGGGGAGCUCUUCAACAUUAAGGCAGUGUAAUGUCAUGCUUGAUUUUCUUUUUCUUUUGGGCGAGGGUAUGGAGAAUGGUGUUCCAUCACCUCUUUUCACUUUUUUCAUUUUUCAUUUUUUUUUUUUCUGUUGAAGAUUAACACUAAUUAUGUUUGACAAAUGCGUAUGUGUGGUCUGAGCACUUUGUAAAUUUUAAAGGAUAAUGGUGAACGUUUUGAGUGUUUAGAUAGAGCAUUCUGUUUUCUCUUGCCCCUUCCAUAUUUAACCUGCUUAUAUUUCCACAUUCUGUCUCACUCACAUUUCUAUGUGCCCUUCUCAUAUCCUGCCAUGCCUAUAGCAUAAUUCUGCCACCAUACAGAUCAGGCAGUAUUUCAAAUGGUAGUAGGUAGCAGGGUGGACACUCUCUGUGCAUUGUGUAGAAGAUGGCUAUGAAUCAUGAAAAGGAUUAGAAUGUUUAAUAGUGUAGUGUGCAGCUGAUGGAUAAUUUUUCUUAAUUCCAGUUAAUUACAUUUUUGGGUAUUGGUUAUUUGCUUACUUAAUUAUGGUCAUCUUUGACAACUGAAUUGAUUGGUUUUUCAUCUUCUAUAAUCUUCUGAUGGUUUUCUUUGCCGGCCAGUUCACAGAGGUGUACACAGCAGGUAGUAAGUAGUUCCCUAGGCGAGUUUAUUGAUGAAACACUACCUGCAAAUAAGUUGUCUCUGAAAGAUUUGAAAAGUCUUGUUCUUUUGUAGAUUGGUUUAAAAAAAUAGAUAUCUAAUAAAAGAAAAUAAACAUUUGUUGGUAAUUAUAAUCAUUAAAAAAACAAAACAAAACCGGGAUCUUUGUGGAAGGGCAGCAUAUGAAAACAUCAGUCCUAAAAAGGGGACAGUAAUACUACCUCAUUACUACACCUGCGAUAACUGGUUGGUCAAACACAAUGGAGUGUGUAAGCUAUAUGUUUUAUAAUACAUAGUGAUAGUCUCAAUCAUGAAGGGAUACUCUUGAAAUUUCAUUUUCCUUCAGAAUAUCUUAGAGUGCUAAAUAUUUAACUGCCUUUUUGUUGAGUUGAACUGUGGGAUUCUAAUUUGUAUUAAAAUUGUAAGCUCUCAUUGGUAUACUAAGGGUGUUUUAUGUCUGAGGAAGUGUGUGUGUGUGUGCGUGCGUGCGCGUGUGUGUGUGUGAGAGAGAGAGAGAAACAGAAAGAGAUGUUACCCUUGUAGAAUAUGAAGAAUGUCUGUACAUUCAUUUCUUGAUAUGAUGGUUACAUAAUCAUUUUAGCAUAUUUGGUUUCUAAAUCACUGUGCUUAUUUUUUUUUCAAUCUCUAAAAAAUACUUAAUUUGGUUUGUUCAUCCUAUCUUAGACAUUAUAAUAUUAGGGUUAUAUUAAUUUCAGUUGUUUUACCGAAGAAUCUUCCCAGUAAGAAAGAUGUUCUAAUAUUAUAUAUUCUAAUAUUUUCUUUAUUGUAAAACACCUAGAUUUGAAGAUACAGAAAAGCCUUGUUUUCUCUGUGUGGUUCAGCUACUUUCCAUUUGGUAUUACGCACUCAAAUUUACAUUUGUCAAUUAAAAUUGCCAUUUUAUUAAACAUUUUUCAUGCACAGUAGAUUCAAAUUGUGUCUGAAAAUAUCUCUUGUGCUUUUUUGAUUUUGCUGACUUUAAAAGGAUUAAUCUGGGCAGACAUUACAAAAAGGAAAAGUUGUGUUUAAUAUAUUUUUUGGACUUUGUAGGAUAAAAGAUAACUGGUUAACCUUGAAGUAACUGUUGUACAGUGGUUGUGCACAUGGCUCAAAAUCCUAUGGAAGAGAAUAUUUCUACUUGCAGUACAUCAGAGGAAUAAGUGGUGGACCCUAUGAUUCAAGCUUUGAAACAGAAGUGUUCAUAUUUCUAAAGUAUUAAAUUGCCGUAAUAGGUGAAAACCUGGACUUCUACUGGAUUUUUAUUAAUUUUACUCAUUUUGAAUUGUGUGCACUACCAUUGUUACAUCAGUUUGAUACAGUGUUGAAAAUUACCAGUUAUAUUUGCUGUUUAUAAUCUAUUUGUAGAUUAGGAUUAAAAUGGAUUUAAUCCAUUUUUAAAACGGUGUGAAUUUUUCUAAACAGGAACAACCAUUUACAAUAUGGUUCUCAUAGUGAUUAAACCAAUUAUAACUUUUAUCAUUAGCAGUUGAGAGCACAUGUUCAUAUAGCAAUGUAAAAAUACACUAAUGAAUAUUUGGUAAAUUCCAAUAGACUUUUUACCAUUAGCGUAAUUUUGUGUUGUACAAUUAAGUUACAAUUACAUCUCUAAUUUUGGAUAAUAUUCAUUGGUUAACAAUAAAGUGAUGAAAGAUCAUGC